rnacentral:rRNA from 1 species
GAUGAACGCUGGCGGCGUGCCUAAUACAUGCAAGUCGAGCGAACAGACGAGGAGCUUGCUCCUUUGACGUUAGCGGCGGACGGGUGAGUAACACGUGGGUAACCUACCUAUAAGACUGGGAUAACUUCGGGAAACCGGAGCUAAUACCGGAUAAUAUUUCGAACCGCAUGGUUCGAUAGUGAAAGAUGGCUCUGCUAUCACUUAUAGAUGGACCUGCGCCCUAUUAGCUAGUUGGUAAGGUAACGGCUUACCAAGGCAACGAUACGUAGCCGACCUGAGAGGGUGAUCGGCCACACUGGAACUGAGACACGGUCCAGACUCCUACGGGAGGCAGCAGUAGGGAAUCUUCCGCAAUGGGCGAAAGCCUGACGGAGCAACGCCGCGUGAGUGAUGAAGGUCUUCGGAUCGUAAAACUCUGUUAUUAGGGAAGAACAAACGUGUAAGUAACUGUGCACGUCUUGACGGUACCUAAUCAGAAAGCCACGGCUAACUACGUG